rnacentral:tRNA from 1 species
GGGCGAAUAGCUCAGUUGGCUAGAGCGCUUCCCUUACAAGGAAGAUGUCGCGGGUUCGAGUCCUGCUUCGCCCA